rnacentral:rRNA from 1 species
GACGUAGGGCGCGAGCGUUGUCCGGAAUUAUUGGGCGUAAAGAGCUCGUAGGCGGUCUGUCGCGUCGGCUGUGAAAACUCGGGGCUCAACUCCGAGCUUGCAGUCGAUACGGGCAGGCUAGAGUUCGGCAGGGGAGACUGGAAUUCCUGGUGUAGCGGUGAAAUGCGCAGAUAUCAGGAGGAACACCCGUGGCGAAGGCGGCUCUCUGGAACGCAACUGACGCUGAGACGCGAAAGCGUGGGGAGCAAACAGG